rnacentral:rRNA from 1 species
AAGAACUUUGAAGAGAGAGUUCAAGAGUACGUGAAACCGUUCAGGGGUAAACCUGCGAAACUCGAAUGAACGAACGGAGAGAUUCAUCGUUUUCUCUCGGGCGUACGUUUACGUGCGUUCAGAUGUUGACGGAACGUUCGUUUCGUGCGUUCGUUCUCCGUCGGCACGGUACGUGAACGUUUAACGUCCCGAGAAGACGUGCACUUCUCUCUUAGUAAUGCAUCGCGACCCGUUCGUCGUGGAUUUAAGACGAUCGCGCGGGAGACCGUACGAGUUUUAUUCGUUUAGAACACGUUCGGACCGCGUAUCGUUCCGAUCCACGCAUUCGGACGGUAUCAUUAAACUAAUCACGCACGCGUUGAAAAUUCCUAAAAAAAAUUUUCUCAUACGCGUCCGGCCCGACGCAAGUCAACGUCGUAUUUUCUCGUUUCCUGCCUUAGUGCGGACGCGAGUGCGACGCGUCUGUUGUCGCAGCCGUGCAGUCUCGGACUAGUGCGUGUUUGUUUGAACGUCUGCGAUGAUACAGUUUCGGGCACUCGCAGGACCCGUCU